UACGUAGGGUGCGAGCGUUGUCCGGAAUUAUUGGGCGUAAAGGGCUCGUAGGCGGUGUGUCGCGUCUGUCGUGGAAUCCUGCGGCUUAACCGUGGGUGUGCGGUGGAUACGGGCAUCACUUGAGUUCGGUAGGGGAGACUGGAAUUCCUGGUGUAGCGGUGGAAUGCGCAGAUAUCAGGAGGAACACCGGUGGCGAAGGCGGGUCUCUGGGCCGAUACUGACGCUGAGGAGCGAGAGCGUGGGGAGCGAACAGGAUUAGAUA
rnacentral:rRNA from 1 species